GCCUGGGUGGCUCAGUUGGUUGAGCGUCUGACUUCCGCACAGGUGGUGAUCUCUUGGUUCACGGCUCAUGGGUUCGAUCCCCAUGUCAGGCU